AGAGUUUGAUCAUGGCUCAGGACGAACGCUGGCGGCGUGCUUAACACAUGCAAGUCGAACGGAAAGGCCCUUCGGGGUACUCGAGUGGCGAACGGGUGAGUAACACGUGGGUGAUCUGCCCUGCACUUUGGGAUAAGCCUGGGAAACUGGGUCUAAUACCGAAUAGGACCACGCGCUUCAUGGUGUGUGGUGGAAAGCUUUUGCGGUGUGGGAUGGGCCCGCGGCCUAUCAGCUUGUUGGUGGGGUAAUGGCCUACCAAGGCGACGACGGGUAGCCGGCCUGAGAGGGUGACCGGCCACACUGGGACUGAGAUACGGCCCAGACUCCUACGGGAGGCAGCAGUGGGGAAUAUUGCACAAUGGGCGCAAGCCUGAUGCAGCGACGCCGCGUGAGGGAUGACGGCCUUCGGGUUGUAAACCUCUUUCAAUAGGGACGAAGCGUGAGUGACGGUACCUAUAGAAGAAGCACCGGCCAACUACGUGCCAGCAGCCGCGGUAAUACGUAGGGUGCGAGCGUUGUCCGGAAUUACUGGGCGUAAAGAGCUCGUAGGUGGUUUGUCGCGUUGUUCGUGAAAACUCACAGCUUAACUGUGGGCGUGCGGGCGAUACGGGCAGACUAGAGUACUGCAGGGGAGACUGGAAUUCCUGGUGUAGCGGUGGAAUGCGCAGAUAUCAGGAGGAACACCGGUGGCGAAGGCGGGUCUCUGGGCAGUAACUGACGCUGAGGAGCGAAAGCGUGGGGAGCGAACAGGAUUAGAUACCCUGGUAGUCC
rnacentral:rRNA from 1 species